UACGGAAGGGGCUAGCGAUGUUCGGAAUUACUGGGCGUAAAGCGCACGUAGGCGGCCUUGUAAGUUGGGGGUGAAAUCCCGGAGCUCAACUCCUGAACUGCCUUCAAGACUGCAAAGCUCGAGGACGCGAGAGGUUAGCGGAAUUCCGAGUGUAGAGGUGAAAUUCGUAGAUAUUCGGAAGAACACUAGUGGCGAAGGCGGCUAACUGACGCGUUUCUGACGCUGAGGUGCGAAAGCGUGGGGAGCAAACAGG
rnacentral:rRNA from 1 species